CAAUAGCGUGCUGCAUGUUUGCAUGGGAGUGAGUCUAUCUGGUAGGUUCUCAAGGAUCAUAUCCUUGAAGUCUAACAAGAGGUAUGGGAUCUUUAGUGGAUGACCCUAUACAGCUUCUCGAUGUGCCUAUAGUUCACAAGCUUCCAUGGCAAAGGUUGUCGCAUUCGAACCCGUCACAUGACCUUCUAUACACUACUAUGCAAUAAUGAAUUAUAAGUUCUCUAUUUAUAAUGACCGCUUAAGCUGUACAGGCUUAACAUGAAAAUAGGAGCAGUACCAAAUUGCUUUCUUUGUUAAGGUCUACUUUCAGGAAGAUCAUGAUAGUUGGGGUCCUCAGUUGCUGUUCUUGUUGCACCAAGUUGGACUAAGCUCAGCUAUUCUUUUCUAUUAGUUCAUUUUUCUCCAGUGAAAAGCAUUGAUUGUACAAUAAAGUUUAAUCUCUUCUUUCACAGUACAAUCAUUAUUCUAUUCAUUAGAUACGAAUAUUACAGGUUCUACCCACUAAUUUGAUGAUGUUACUAAUGUAGAUCGAGGAAUGUUCCUCUAAGCCAAUGGGUAGCUAUAUUGAUGGUAUGAUUCUUCUGAUGCUUAUUAUUUUCUUGUUGGUGUACAUGUAAUUUGUUGUUAGCAGAAUAUGGUGGAAUAGUGUAGCUGGAUAUUCUUAUUUCUCCUUUGAGGAAGAAUAAAACUAUGUAAUCUUCUAUAAGAAUUUAUAUGCUUGAUAGUUAAUAUCGAAGAAACAGCUGCAUAUGAAAAUGUUUGUAACAUUCUUCAGAAAGUCUUCUCUUGAUUUGGUUGGGCAAUCUGCUGCUAUUUAUGUUUUUAAGUGUUUAUAUGCAGGAAACAGAAGCAUUAUGCUUUCCAAAAAAGUAAGUUUGGAGAAUAUGGCAUGAGAUGCUGGUAUUGUGUUUCUAAAUUACCAUGUGGCUAUUAAUUUGUUUAAGCGCAGGGACAUGAGAUGAGUGGGAGAUCCAAGGACCUGAUGACUCAGUUGCAGUCUGCAAAAAAUAAGUUUGAAGAAGUGGAAGCGAAAAAAAUCUGAAAUUAAUAUAUCAAUCAGCAAGGCAUUUCUUUGAUUACAAUUGAUGGAAUCAAUUUACAAUUAUGGAUGGGGACUAAUGUUCUGUAAGUCGAGCAUUUUACAAUAAGAAAAUGCAAAUGAUUUUCUUUCUUAACAGUCAAAGCAGCUUGUUGAGCAAGUAAAGCACCAAAUUGAGAGUGUGCCAGGGGGUCCAUCAAACCAAAUUAAUAGAUGAUUGGCUAUCAUUCCUUCCAAGGUCAGUCCACAGAAAUCUGUUCUGCUUCAUGUAUGUUAUCAUAUGAUGUGCUGGUUCAUCCAGUCUCCUUUGAUGGAAAUGGAUGAGGAUGCCCUGGAAGAGGAAUACAAAGCUCUGUUUGCUGAUAACACUGGAGAAAUGGAAUACCGGAACUCUCUAGAGGUGUAUUCUGGUUUGAACUUCUGCUGUAUUGAUUUGAUAGUUUACCUGUUUUUAUUGCUGAUGCUAGUAUCUUUUACUAAAGAUUUUGCUUUGUAUCAGUUCGUCUAUGGUAUUAGUAGUCUUAAAUCGCCUGAUAUUUUUGCAAUUUCAUUGUUUUGUGAACAAUCAACUUCUUUAUGGUAUAUGUAUGUUAUUGGAGAUUUUCAAUUAAUUUCCUCCGGGGACUAGGUUUAGAGGAAUAAACCUGGCUUACCUUCUGUAUGUGUGCUAAUGUUGUGAAAUAUCAUGUUCUGUGUGCAAUCGGUAGUCAUUCUGAUAUUUUUGUAGUUGCAUUCUUGCUUGAUUGCAGACACCGGAGCUUCUUCAACAAGAAAUGGUCAUCCUUUCAAUAAAAAUAAAAGAAAGUGCUAUGCAUCAGAGUGAGAGUUCAAUCACAUUUUCGUCAUAUAGAUCAGUGAAUUUUGUGUACUUUGUCUUCAAUAGAUCUUACUACUCAAAGAUCACCGAGGAGUUGAAUGUUAAACUAAAGGAACAGCAGCUAGGCUCGAAUGAAAUAUUCCAAAGUUCUUUUGAACUAUCAUAUCAUCCCUUGGCAUGCCUUGUGCUUCUAACUUGCAAGUAUGUGCAACAAAGAUUUUCCAUGUUUUUUCCUCCUUUGUCUUGUGUGUGUAGGAUUGGUUUGACUCACAUAAGCAGAAAAUGGUACAAGAUGCUUGGCCAGUAUGCUUUCACUAACAUUCACCAUGACCUUCUAUACUACUAUGCAAUAAUGAAUUAUGAGCUCUCCAUGUAUAAUGACCAGUUAAGCUGUGCAGGCUUAACAUGAAAAUAGGAGCAGUACCAAAUUGCUUUCUUUGUUAAGGUCUACUUUCAGGAAGAUCAUGAUAGUUGGAGUCCUCAGUUGCGGUUCUUGUUGCACCAAGUUGGACUAAGCUCAGCUAUUCUUUUCUAUGAGUUCAUUUUUCUCCAGUGAAAAGCAUUGAUUGUACAAUAAAGUUUAAUUUCUUCUUUCACAGUACAAUCAUUAUUCUAUUAAUUAGAUAAGAAUAUUACAGGUUCUAUCCACUAAUUUGAUGAUGUUGCUAAUGUAGAUCGAGGAAUGUUCCUCUAAGCCAAUGGGUAGCUAUAUUGAUGGUAUGAUUCUUCUGAUGCAUAUUAUUUUCUUGUUGGAUAAUUUGUCGUUAGCAGAAUAUGGUGGAAUAGUGUAGCUGGAUAUUCUUAUUUCUCCUUUGAGGAAGAAUAAAACUAUGUAUUAUUCUAUCAGAGUUUAUAUGCUUGAUAGUUAAUACCGAAGAAACAGCUGCUUAUGAAAAUGUUUGUAAUAUUCUUCGGAAAGUCCUCUCUUGAUUUGGUUGGGCUAUCUGCUGCUAUUUAUGUUUUUAACUGUUUAUAUGCAGGAAACAGAAGCAUUAUGCUUUGCAAAAAAGCAAGUUUGGAGAAUAUGGCAUGAGAUGCUGGUAUUAUGUUUCUAAAUAACCAUGUGUUAUUAAUUUCUUUAACAGCAGGGACAUGAGAUGAGUGGGUGAUCCAAGGACCUGAUGACUCAGUUGCAGUCUGCAAAAAAUAAGUUUGAAGAAGUAGAAGCAAAAAAAAUCUGAAAUUAAUAUAUCAAGCAGCAAGGCAUUCUUUGAUUACAACUGGUGGAAUCAAUUUACAAUUAUGGAUGGGGUCUAAUGUUCUAUAAGUCGAGCAUGCUACAAUAAGAAAAUGCAAAUGAUUUUCUUUCUUAAUAGUCAAAGCAGCUUGUUGAGCAAGUACAGCACCAAAUUACUGAGUGUUCCAGGGAGUCCAUCAAACCAAAUUAAUAGAUGAUUGGCUAUCAUUUCUUCCAAGGUCAGUCCACAGAAGUCUGUUCUGCUUCAUGAAUGUUAUCAUAUGACGUGCUGGUUCAUGCAGUUUCCUUUGAUGGAAAUGGAUGAGGAUGCCUUGGGAGAGGAAUACAAAGCUAUAACACUGGAGAAAUGGAAUACCAGCACUCUCUAGAGGUGUAUUCUGGUUUGAACUUCUGCUGUAUUGAUUUGAUAGUUGACCUGUUUUUAUUGCUGAUGUUAGUAUCUUUUACUAAAGAUUUUGCUUUGUAUCAGUUCGUUUAUGGUAUUAGUAGUCUUAAAUCGUCUGAUCCUUUUGCAAUUUCAUUUUUUUGUAAACACUUUUACUAUAAUCAACUUCUUUAUGGUAUCUGUUACUGGAGAUUUUCAAUUAAUUUCCUCCAGGGACUAGGUUUAGAGGAAUAAACCUGGCUUGUCUGCUGUAUGUGUGCUAUUGCAUUCCUAUCUUCACUUUUCUCUAGCUUAGUGUUGCUGAUUGUUGACCUAUAUUCUCUUGACUGUUCCCUAUGGUCUCAUAGUUUUAUUAUCAUCAUAUUAAACACAAUAUUUGUUUUUCCAUUACACAUAUGAAAUAGAAAUCAAAUGCAAACGUUGGUUCCAGCUGAAGUCUUGGUUCUGCAAUAUUUUAUCACUUACCGGACUGAGCUAUUUAAUUACAGUUUUCUUUUUUUUUCUUUCAAACUUCUUAGUUUACUCACUUUCGGAUAUGACUUGUUUCUCUUAUUCCACAGGAGACCUUUUCAGAUUCACCUAUUUUGUCUUUGAAACAUUUAUUUUGUCAACUGAUUUCAAGAUGUAGUGUUAUUCGCUGCAAAUCAUCGAAUCAUGGUGAUAGGAAGUUGUCAUUCAUUCACAGUUUAUCUUUGUGGACAAGUUACACCAGUUAAUUACUCUUCUCUUCCUUUUGAAUUGAUGGAUACCUAUUAACCGAUCUUAGUAGGAUGCUGCAUAAAUAUCAUUCUUGUUAGGUUUUUGGUUAAGUAUUGAUGAGUAGCCAUUGUUGGAUACCAGCUGUAUGAUCUUGGAAGGAUGGUUAGUUAUAUAUUGAUCUUGUUAGGUUCUUCGGUAAUUCUAGGGGGGAUUAGUAGAAUAGGUUGGACUAUUGCAUUCGCAUCCUCACUUUGUGUUCUCUAGAAUAGUGUUGCUGAUUGUUGACCUAUAUUCUCUUAACUGUUCCCUAUGGUCUCAUAGUUUUAUUAUCAUCAUAUUAAACACAAUAUUUGUUUUUCCAUUACAAAUAUGAAAUAGAAAUCAAAUGCAAAAUGUUGGUUCCAGCUAAAGUCUCGUUUCUGUAGCAUCCUUGACUUAUGCCUUAUUUGAUCUAUGGAAAGAUGGAUCUCCGCCUUGACUGCAUUUUAAGUGUAUGGGUGCCUGGAUAACCAAGUUUUUUGAGUAAUUACUUUUCUUCCUGUUUUUCUUAACACAUGUUUUUCUACAUGUACAGAAGUUAGAGAGCCAGUUAUCUGAAAAAAGUUUCGGCAACUUGAUCUAGUGCUAUUUACUUCAGUUCAUUAUAACAUCAUGAUAAGACAUUGCUGUUCAUUCAUAGUUCAUCUUCAUGGGCAAAUUGCACUGAAAUGUUGCAUUGGAUGGGAGGUUCCAGGUGUGUCGCGAUGGAAAAACCAUGGAAGUUGAUGUUGCACGUGGUACAGUAACCCAUCACUACAAAUAACAUUUCUUAUAUUUUGCUUGAAUGCAAGGGCUUGUGCAGGUACUUUUUCCUUUGCUUUUGACUAUCGCAAUGGUUCUAACUGGAAGAAGUAACUGAGAAGCUGACUUUUAUUUGCCUUUCACAACUGAUAUUGUUCAUGAUAUACUUAUGUAAAUAAAGGAUUUGUCAAAGGCUCUAGCUUUCUUUUGUUUGCCUAGAAAAACUUGAUCAUUAUCCUCAAUUCCUCAUCAUAAUAUAGAGGAUACUAGAUUAAUUAGUGGAUUUAAAUAUGUUGCAAUCAUAUGAUUUUUAACACAUCUUGAUUGAUUAGGUUUUACCUAAUUGCUGAAAUCAAUAACACAACUGUCACAAUUGUAUCGAAUGUUGAUUAAUGAGAAAUUUGUUCCCCCUUUCUUUUUGAUUUUGAUCUUCUGUCCUAUAUGGUAAAAUGCUCAGGCAAUGAGAAGAUGUUGUAGUCUUCAACGACGGGUUAAUUCUCCUUUUGAUUUUGAUUCCAUUCACGACCUUCCAUUUUGAAAAAUGUUAUCUUUGUCUUGAAUGGCCUUUGCGGCGUACUUCAAUAUAAAACAUACUUAUGUUCUCAA